rnacentral:lncRNA from 1 species
UUUGUCUUGGAUUGGUUGACUGAUGGGUUAUGUUCCUAGUCUUGCUCUUGUUCGGUUGUGGUUAGGGCUGGAAAUGUAUCGAAUCGUGUCGAACUUGUCUGAGCUCGACUCAACUCUUUAAGAAAUAGUUCGGCUCGAAACUCGACUCGAAUUCGAUAUGAACUAUUUUUUGGCUUAAGUUCGACUCAUUAAAAGUUCAUGAACAACUCAGUUCGACUCGUUAGGUUCGGUUAGUUAGCUUGAAACUCAUAAUUCAAAUUAUUUUCUUUUGUUGUAAAAAAAGAGAUAUUUUUUUAGAUCUUUUCACCAUUUAAUUUAAUUAUUUUUAAAAGGCAAAUAUUAGAUAUACAAAUCUAUAGAAUUCCCAAAAACCCCUUCCAAACCACAAAUUGGUUCAAGAAACCGAGUGCUCACGUAAUAGUGGUAACUUAAAAAAAAUUAAACUACUUUGUUCAAGUGAAAAAUGGAAUGUGUAUGUCACUUUAAUGACAGUGAAAACACAUCGUAGAAGGAUGCAACACAAGAGCUUAUUUUACUUUGACCUUUGUUAGCUUACAAGACCUUCGAUGUGGGACUUGUUUUGUGCUAACUCUCUAUGUUGCCCCUUGAAAUUUGCCACAUGUUGCAAAUAUAUAUUUGUAAUCGAGUCGAUUCAUGAACUAAAUGAGCUUAACUUUCAAAUGAGUUAAAUUAUAUAUAGUUGAAGCUCAUUCAUUUAUUUAACGAAUUUAAUUUUCAGCUCAAACUCAACUUAUUUGGUUCAUGAACCAAGUUCGACGAACUAAAAGUCGAGUCGAACUCUAAACUUUAGCCUGUGGUUGAGGGUUCUUGAUAGGAGUUUAGUUGGUUUUCCGUUGGUGUUUUAGUUCUUACUUUUGUUUUUCUGUGGGUGGGAUUCUAUGUUUUUUAUUAUUGCUUGACUUUAGUACUUCUUGUACAUUAAUUUCUAUGUGGUUGUACUCUUGCAUGAGAUUUCACCUUUUUAUUUAUAAUAUAUGUAUUUUACAUUAAAAAAAUGUAGUUUUUUUGUUUA